UACGUAGGGGGCAAGCGUUGUCCGGAAUUAUUGGGCGUAAAGCGCGUGUAGGCGGCCAGCACAAGUCAGUUGUGAAAUCUCCGAGCUUAACUCGGAAAAGGUCAACUGAUACUGUGCGGCUAGAGUGCGGAAGGGGGCAACUGGAAUUCUUGGUGUAGCGGUGAAAUGCGUAGAUAUCAGGAAGAACACCAAUGGCGAAAGCAGCUCUCUGGGACGGUACUGACGCUGAGACGCGAAAAGCGUGGGGGAGCGAACAGG
rnacentral:rRNA from 1 species